CCAGGUUUCUUCACUUGAUUCCCACUCCUGCCUUCUCCUCGCUUGGAAGACUGCAAUGGUUGAGAGAAUUGAUGUGUGGAGGUGGCUGGGAGCCCUGGCUGUAUGAAGGAUCCCUGGUCUCAGAUGUAUUCAAUGUGAUCUGUGCUUGACAGCCACUGCACUAUCCAUGUAUAGGAGCACUACAAGUCAGUGAAGAAAAACAUGAACUUAGCAGUUGUUUAGGUCUGACGCCUGCUGACAGCUGGGGCCAGGAAAGGCUGGCAGUUGCCAAGGCUAUGUGAAACAGAAGUGGAUAUGCAGAAGAACACUCGCAUUUGUUGUUAUGUCAAGUGAAGAUGUAACACUAGGAAGAUAGGGAUGUUUACUGAUGCAGGGGUCACCAGGCACUGACUGCUGGAAUUCUGCUCAGAGGAAGCAAGCCAGAUGGGAAGAGAAAAGAAAUCCCCAGCUGUCAAGUGCCAUAUCAUUACAGGUGACAAGUCCGUGAAUAUUGUGGAUGACUGGAGUAAUUGUCUGCAUGGAAGUCUCCUAAGGAAAACUCACUUAGUGCCUCAAGAGGAUACAACAGGUUCAUGGUGCUGGUAUAGCUGCCUUGGUUUAGAUCAGAGAGGGUUUCAGGACUGUAGCUUUUUAUGAUAAUGAACUUUGUACUUUAGUCAAUACAGAAAGCCCAUUUUGGAUUAUCAUCAGAAAAGCUCAAGCCAUUCAAUUUACCUGAGGUGCUACUUGUUGUUGGUUCAGAAUUAGAUUGAUGAAAACGGAGGCUGACUGGACAAAACCCCUUUUGAAUUCUAUGGCUUCAAAAUCCAGUUUAACUGAAUUUUACGGAAAUUCAUCAAAAUAAAUUAGAAAAAAAAUAUUGGUAACCACAAAAAAAGUUAUGAAGCAAUCACAAUGAUAUGCUUUUAAAAUUUUUUUCUUAUUGCUUUGUUCAUCUUAGAUGUUACAUUUGUUUAUGUAACAUUACCUCCAUUGAUUGCAUUUCAUUAUUUUGAGGAACACUACAUAUAGUAUUUAAAGUGUUUUGGAAUCAUACAGGCUUUGAUUUAACAUGACUUGAUUUCUAGUGACAGCUGCCUUUAAAUUGAUGUGUUUCCGUUAAUAGUAGUGGGGUUUUUUUUGUUUGUUUGAAGUUUUUCAAGAUGUUCAGCUUUGGAGGUAAAGAUUUCAGAACUAGGCUUUGGUUGACAUUCAAUCAACUUUGGAAUAUCUGAGGAGAAAAAUGCCUUCUCUAUUUUUAAGUUAAGGUGUAGUGGAAUAACUAAGAACAAUUAAUUUAUUGUACAUAAAGAAUCUUAAUGUCAUGCAUGGUACCUUUUAAGUGACAGCCAUUGGAACAGGCAGAUCUGCGAUAGUUAUAGCCUUAUUCCCUGGGCAAACUGUUUUAAGUUUCUUUGUCAGUUCUUCUCAACUGAAAUAAUAAAUUAACCUGUAAAGUAUUUUUCUAGCAGAAUGUAUUGGGUUUUGUAGAUUUUGAGAAACAGUAUCUGCUGACAUAGAAGACAGUUUUCUUAGUGGUCCAAGAAGAGGUUGCACGUAGACACUUAUUUUUGAUAUUUCCAAAGGCUAUUCUAUACCUUAUAAAUAUUAAUGUAG